GUGGGAUUUAAAUGAGAUAAGGUGCACAUUGUUUAGCACAGUGCCUGCGCAUGGAAGGCUCUCAAAUAAAUAUUCGUGCAAUGUUUUGAGAAGUAGAAAGUGCUAGGCACGUAGGCGUUCAGGAGACAGUCACGGUACUCGUUUCCAGACAGAAGUCAUGAGGAACAAGAGGGAAGGUGCUUUCCCGUGUGCAGCGCUUGGGGAGACUCACACAGACAGAGGAUCUGGCAUGACAGGGAAAGGAGGAAAUGGCUUCUGUUAAUCUCUCCUUCAGCUUCUCCCGCCCUUCCCAUGCACUCUUCCUGUUUCCCUUUCCAGUUCUCACGGUGACUCAAGGAACAACGUGUGAAAUGAAAGACCUCAGGUGCUGUAUUGGCUCUUGACAGCUCUUCAGAAGAAAAUACCUCCUGCCUGUUCUGUUCAGUCCUGGUGCAGGUGGUCCUGGACAACACUUUGAAAAAUGCUGGGGCAGAAACAAGCCAGCAAGCAUAUGGGAUUCAUCUGCUGUGAGUGAUAAUUUAUCUAGUUUCUAAAAAUAGUGUUAUAGGCUGGACUGUGUCCCCUUCCUGUGCCCCGCCGCCAUGCAUAUAUGGACGCCUAGUACCUCAGAAUGUGACUGUAUUUGGAAACAGGGCCUUUGAAGAAGUAAUUAAGUUAAAAUGAGGUCAUUAGGGUGGGCAGUAAUACAGUAUAACUGGUGUCCUUAUAAGAAGAGAUUAGGACACAGAUGCACACAGAGGGAAGACCAUAUGAACACAGAGGGAGAAGACAGCCACCUGCAAGCCACAGAGAGAGCCCUUCAAAGAAACCAACCCUGCAGACAAUUUGAUCUCAGGUUUCUGGCCUCCAGAAUUGUGAGAAAAUAAAUUUCUGUUGUUUAA
rnacentral:lncRNA from 10 species